GACGAACGCUGGCGGCGUGCUUAACACAUGCAAGUCGAACGGAAAGGCCCUGCUUUUGUGGGGUGCUCGAGUGGCGAACGGGUGAGCAACACGUGAGUAACCUGCCCUUGACUUUGGGAUAACUUCAGGAAACUGGGGCUAAUACCGGAUAGGAGCUCCUGCUGCAUGGUGGGGGUUGGAAAGUUUCGGCGGUUGGGGAUGGACUCGCGGCUUAUCAGCUUGUUGGUGGGGUAGUGGCUUACCAAGGCUUUGACGGGUAGCCGGCCUGAGAGGGUGACCGGCCACAUUGGGACUGAGAUACGGCCCAGACUCCUACGGGAGGCAGCAGUGGGGAAUAUUGCACAAUGGGCGGAAGCCUGAUGCAGCAACGCCGCGUGCGGGAUGACGGCCUUCGGGUUGUAAACCGCUUUCGCCUGUGACGAAGCGUGAGUGACGGUAAUGGGUAAAGAAGCACCGGCUAACUACGUGCCAGCAGCCGCGGGAUACGUAGGGUGCGAGCGUUGUCCGGAUUUAUUGGGCGUAAAGGGCUCGUAGGUGGUUGAUCGCGUCGGAAGUGUAAUCUUGGGGCUUAACCCUGAGCGUGCUUUCGAUACGGGUUGACUUGAGGAAGGUAGGGGAGAAUGGAAUUCCUGGUGGAGCGGUGGAAUGCGCAGAUAUCAGGAGGAACACCAGUGGCGAAGGCGGUUCUCUGGGCCUUUCCUGACGCUGAGGAGCGAAAGCGUGGGGAGCGAACAGGCUUAGAUACCCUGGUAGUCCACGCUGUAAACGGUGGGUACUAGGUGUGGGGUCCAUUCCACGGGUUCCGUGCCGUAGCUAACGCUUUAAGUACCCCGCCUGGGGAGUACGGCCGCAAGGCUAAAACUCAAAGGAGUUGACGGGGCCCCGCACAAGCGGCGGAGCAUGCGGAUUAAUUCGAUGCAACGCGUAGAACCUUACCUGGGUUUGACAUGGAUCGGGAGUGCUCAGAGAUGGGUGUGCCUCUUUUGGGGUCGGUUCACAGGUGGUGCAUGGCUGUCGUCAGCUCGUGUCGUGAGAUGUUGGGUUAAGUCCCGCAACGAGCGCAACCCUUGUUCACUGUUGCCAGCACGUUAUGGUGGGGACUCAGUGGAGACCGCCGGGGUCAACUCGGAGGAAGGUGGGGAUGACGUCAAGUCAUCAUGCCCCUUAUGUCCAGGGCUUCACGCAUGCUACAAUGGCUGGUACAGAGAGUGGCGAGCCUGUGAGGGUGAGCGAAUCUCGGAAAGCCGGUCUCAGUUCGGAUUGGGGUCUGCAACUCGACCUCAUGAAGUCGGAGUCGCUAGUAAUCGCAGAUCAGCAACGCUGCGGUGAAUACGUUCCCGGGGAA
rnacentral:rRNA from 1 species